GGCCCUUUAGCUCAGCUGGUAGAGCACCACGUUUACACCGUGGGUGUCGUCGGUUCGAACCCGGCAGGGGCCA
rnacentral:tRNA from 2 species